UCUACCUCUCUUUACUCACACUUUCAUCUCUCAGCUCCCUCUUGUCUUUCUCUCUCUGUAAGUGUAGAGAAUCUGGCAAAUCUGAGCACUAUCACUCACUGGCUCUGGCGAGCCAAACCGUUAAACCACCACACCUUAUCAUUCCCCACACCUUUGUUAAGCUCAGAUCUUUAUAUCAAACCCAGACCAGACCCUACAUGUCAUUAUAGCACUGUUUAUGUUCGAGCAGUUUUCCGGCGAGUUCUCCACAAUCUCGACCAAGCGUAAAAAGACCACAGGGACAAUUUUCUAGAAAACUGGUAGGGAAAAACCGUGGCCAUUCGACCACUUUCAGACCAACUUUCCGAGCAACACCAACCACGACUGAACUACCAAUAGGUAUAGAUCGACUCCCUACAUUUCUAGCUUCAAUUUGGUUUUUGUAUCAUCGAUUUUGGUGGUGAAUCGAGCUAGAUAUUAGCCUUGGAAGUUGGCCCAGAAAUCAGGCCGAACGUGUGCUUCGCGAAGAUGGUGAGUGCUGUUGUACUCGCGAACACGUGAAAUGCAUGUGGUGUUGCAGUGCUUGGCGCGUGGAGCACUUGCGCCUCUUUGGAGGUACUGUGGAUGGCGGCGCCGACGACUUUUCAGCAACUUAAUUAGGCGCAUGGCCUCCUAGGCCGUUGUCCCAUGGCGGCAAAUGCGGCGGUGCGUGGGGGAACCUGAGGUCUCUCCUUAAAUUUUUGGACGUGCCGAAUCCGAAUCCACUGUUCGUUUUUUGAAAUUCGAUUAUUUUAAAAGAGUUUCUUUAUUUGCUGUACUUUGUAAUAAAACACAUUUAUACGUUAGUAUGUUAUAUAUUUGUAUGAAUGGUUUUGUUCUAGGUGAAACGCAUUGUAAGGAUCUUCAAUUUCUGCGAGGCGGGUUUGACUUGACGACGUAAUUUGUGAGUAGGUUUUUGCUUUUACAUACUAUAUAUAUUUAUCUAGUUUCCAUAUAUGUUUAAUAAAGAAUUUACUAUGCAUA